UUUCUGUUAACGCUCGACGGUUUCCUCAAAGGAAUGAAAUGGGAAUCCGGACGGGAGAGAUACCCCAAAGCCGGAGCUGCCCCCGCAACUGUGAGCGGUUAGCUUUCCAUCAAAUGCCACUGGGAUUUCUCCUGGGAAGGCGAUGGAGCGUAAGUCCGCGAGCCAGGAGACCUGCCGUCAGUCGUGGUCACGC
rnacentral:ncRNA from 2 species